CUUAGCAAGGCCGUGCAGGGCCUGGGCUCCCGCGCCUGCUGCCUCUGGCUAUAGCUGGCCCUGGCCACUCACUGCUGCCGUGGAACAGGGUUCUCCUGGUGUGCCAGGACGUGAAGGCACCAGAGGUCUGCCCCAGAGGGGGCAGGUGAGCCCCCGUGUGGACACAGGCCCCUGUGGUCUGCCACCCUGCAGAGCUUGAGGUCAUAGCCUCCUGCAGCUCCCUGCAGAGACCAGAGGCCGUCCAGUGCAGGAGGCUGCAACUGUUUCACCAGGGGCUCACAGCUAAGGGUUCACCUUGAGCCUCAGCAGAGACUUUGGACUUGAGUGUCGGAGCGGUCCUAUGACUGUUGGCGACGGGAGGGCUGGGAGUGGAUGAACACAGUUCGCCUGGUAACGGACAUUGCCUUUGGCAGCCGGAGUGAAAUAUGGUUUGGAUCUUAAAUGUCCCUCCACAGCUCCUGUGUUAAAAUAUGGACCCCAAUGCAGCAGUGUUUAGAUGUGGGCCUUUGCCAGGUGACUGGACAUGAAGGCUCUGCCCUCACAAAUGGAUGGAGGGCUCCUUGGGAUUUGUAGGUCCAUGGUCUAUUGGGUGUGUCUUAGUUGGAAGGAGGAGGUCAGGGGUCCAUGCCCUUGAAGGGAACAUCUUGUCAUUUUGUCCUGGGACCCCUGCUUGUCCCACUCUGCACCCCAGCCUUGAGGGGCACAGCUCUGCCCUUCCAGGAGCCCCACCAUGAUGUUCUGCAUUACCCGAGGUCCCGAGUCACGGGACUGAGAAAUCGUGGACUGAAUCUUCUGAAACUUUGAGCCAAAAUAAAUCUUUGUUCCUUUAAAA